GAAAAAUAAAAAAGAAUAUAUCAACAGGUUCAUACAUGACCUGAUGACAAACUUGAAUACUUUUGAGAAAAUUUCCACAACAAGUUCAUACAUGACAUGACAACAUUGGAACAAAAAGUUCAGCAACAGGUUCAUACAUGACCUGAUAAAACUAGAAUAAAGGCUCAACAGCAACGGGUUCAUACAUGACCUGACAAUGCUGGAGAAUAUCAAGAAUUUUUGACAGCAGGUUUAGACAUGAC
rnacentral:lncRNA from 1 species